CCUCCAGAGUGAAAACCAGAAACACCCAAGUGCAAAGUGGCUUCCUCCCCUGGACACCUCAAGAUAAAAUUGCCCCAACAAGCCGAUGAUCAGCCUAGACCAGAUAAGUUGAUGAAUCUGGGGAUGCUUUUAUAACUACUCUGCCUAUGUGAGAGCUGCCUCAGCCUGGACGGGUGCGAGGAUAUCCAGCUGUUCCUUGGGGCUUGGAGCAGGGCAGGGUGCAGAGCUCACGCCCAGGUCUCGGGGGCUGUGCUGGAGCAGGGAACCCCCGUGAGCACGAGCCAGAGAUUGGGACAUCGAACCAGCUAAGAGACAACAACCCAGUGAUGGCAGGAGUUUCCCAGAUAAUGGAACAGCUCUUCUCACCUGACCUGGAUUCUAAUACCUCGAUCUCUGACAGAUAAGUGCAGGGGUUCA